rnacentral:lncRNA from 1 species
CUAUUCCGAUCUCAAGACGCACCCUAGCCUAAGCUAUACUUUCGUAAAAUAAAUUACCACUGAAAUAACGUUUUAAUUCCUCCACUUACCUGUAUAACUUUAUGUUAUUACUGGUAAUUAUAAGUAAUUUAUUGCAUCCACAUUCGAUAUAAACAUACCGUGGGCAAUUGUUCACCAAUAGAUGGCAGCACACGCUUUGUAAACAUACAUACCGUACUGAACACGUUUUGAGCCUAC